rnacentral:tRNA from 1 species
ACUUGAAUAGCUUAAAUUUUUAAAGCAUAACUCUGAAGAAGUUAAUAUAGGUAUAUACCUUUUAAGUA